rnacentral:rRNA from 1 species
UGGUGGAGUGAUUUGUCUGGUUAAUUCCGAUAACGAACGAGACCUUAACCUGCUAAAUAGUCGCGUCAACUCCGGUUGAUAGUGACUUCUUAGAGGGACAAACCAUGUUUAAUGGUUGGAAGUUUGAGGCAAUAACA